AGAGCCCGCGGAGACCGAGCCCAGCGCCAGGCGACCGGUCCCCGCCGCCACCGCCCCUGCGCGGUAGAUCCACCCUGCUUAGUCCGCGCCCGAGCCCCCGUCCGUGGGGAACAGACAAGGGGUCUCCGCAGCGCCUCACAACCCCCGACCAGGUCCAGCGGCGGGGGACUCGGCCGUGGAGGGCGCUGUUCCGUCUGGAUGGCUCCCGCCAUCAGCGGGAGGCUACACCCCCUACCAGCAGGAGCAAGAGGAGCAGCGGGAGGGGAGCAGGCCGCCGUCCUGCGGCCUGGUUGAGCUCGCACUGACAAUCGCAGGCCCAGUAACCCGCAGGUCACCGCGCUCCCCACCUGCGUUGCUGACGGUGACAUCGUCGGGGGAGGGGGGCGCGCCUUCCCAGAGGCUCAGGUCGCGAGGGUAGCCGGGGUCCGGGCGCGCCGCCGCCUCGUCGUAGCGCCAGUACUGCCGGCCGCGGACCAGGUAGGUCUUCCCGUUCUGUGGCCAUGAGAACACGGCGUCCACCUCCUCUCCCGGGGGCAGCCCCAGCUCUGUGAGCGGCCGCGC
rnacentral:antisense_RNA from 1 species